rnacentral:misc_RNA from 1 species
AUCAGUAACAUACUCUUUUUCACAUGGUGGUCGGGAAUUUGGCACUCUAGUUCCUAAAAGAGGAUUGCGACAAGGUGAUCCUCUUUCACCUAUCUUUUUAUUUUAUGUGAUGAGAGUUUGUNNNNNNNNNNNACUCAGGGUGAUCUUCACGGGUGUAAGAUUGCUCGUCAUGCACCUUCCAUAUCACACUUGUUUUUUGACGAUGAUUGUUAUUUUUUUCUUUCGAGCUACUGCCC